GAUGAACGCUGGCGGCGUGCCUAAUACAUGCAAGUCGAGCGAACAGACGAGGCGCUUGCUCCUCUGACGUUAGCGGCGGACGGGUGAGUAACACGUGGAUAACCUACCUAUAAGACUGGGAUAACUUCGGGAAACCGGAGCUAAUACCGGAUAAUAUAUUGAACCGCAUGGUUCAAUAGUGAAAGACGGUUUUGCUGUCACUUAUAGAUGGAUCCGCGCCGCAUUAGCUAGUUGGUAAGGUAACGGCUUACCAAGGCAACGAUGCGUAGCCGACCUGAGAGGAUGAUCGGCCACACUGGAACUGAGACACGGUCCAGACUCCUACGGGAGGCAGCAGUAGGGAAUCUUCCGCAAUGGGCGAAAGCUUGACGGAGCAACGCCGCGUGAGUGAUGAAGGUCUUCGGAUCGUAAAACUCUGUUAUUAGGGAAGAACAAAUGUGUAAGUAACUAUGCACGUCUUGACGGUACCUAAUCAGAAAGCCACGGCUAACUACGUG
rnacentral:rRNA from 1 species